UAAAUGGCCCUUCUGCGUCUCUUAUUCUCAGGUCCUGGAAACAGGUCGCGCAGGUCGUCUUCAGUCAGGGCCUGAAUGUCUGAGUCACUUUGUAAAUCAGCGUCUGCAACAACGACACAGAAUGACUAAAGAUGGAAACUCAACAUUUAAACGUGAGCUCAACAGUCAUCUUAUAAAAGUGAAACAACAAAUUGUUUUUAUUAUCUAAUCCUCGUCAAUAAACAAAAGGUCACUAACUCAUCAACUCAUCAGCUGCUGGUUUGUCGAUGCGUUUUAUUUCCUUCAGUAAACCCGACAUGACUUCACCUGUAAAGCGGAAUAAAAGCAGCAUUUAUUAUUCUAUUAUUCUGGUAGGUCGUCUUUUCUCUCGUCCGUGUGACAUAUUGGUGAAAGAUCGGGAUACAAACCAGCUGUGUAGACGAGUCAAACCAAAGGAAGCGAUCGAUCACACGACGGAGGAUCGACUCGAUUAAUUGGUUGAUCUCCUUUAACCGUUAAGAGUUAGCUGUCAAUCAUCCAACCAAAGCAAAAAUCAGAAAUCUGUGCUGUAUUCCUACUCCAAGCUGGUCUUCACAGCAACCCCGAUUUACAGUAAAACGAAAGUGAAACUGCGAGUGACGGUUGUUUUUCUCACUUGUCGUUACAGUUUCAACAUGUUGCGUUUCCG
ensembl:lncRNA